UACGUAGGGAGCGAGCGUUGUCCGGAAUCAUUGGGCGUAAAGCGCGCGUAGGCGGCUUCGUAAGUCCGCUGUAAAAGUCAAAGGCUCAACCUUUGAAAGCCGGUGGAUACUGUGAGGCUAGAGUACGGAAGAGGCGAGUGGAAUUCCUGGUGUAGCGGUGGAAUGCGCAGAUAUCAGGAGGAACACCAACGGCGAAGGCAGCUCGCUGGGACGGUACUGACGCUGAGGCGCGAAAGCGUGGGGAGCGAACAGG
rnacentral:rRNA from 1 species